rnacentral:rRNA from 1 species
CUCCGGUUGAUCCUGCCGGACCCGACUGCUAUCAGAGUGGGACUAAGCCAUGCGAGUCAACAUAGCAAUAUGUGGCAUACGGCUCAGUAACACGUAGUCAACAUGCCCAGGGGACGUGGAUAACCUCGGGAAACUGAGGAUAAACCGCGAUAGGUCAUCACUUCUGGAAUGGGUAAUGACUUAAAUCUAUAUGGCCCCUGGAUUGGACUGCGGCCGAUCAGGCUGUUGGUGAGGUAAUGGCCCACCAAACCUGUAACCGGUACGGGCUCUGAGAGGAGGAGCCCGGAGAUGGGCACUGAGACAAGGGCCCAGGCCCUAUGGGGCGCAGCAGGCGCGAAACCUCUGCAAUAGGCGAAAGCUUGACAGGGUUACUCUGAGUGAUUUCCGUUAAGGAGAUCUUUUGGCACCUCUAAAAAUGGUGCAGAAUAAGGGGUGGGCAAGUCUGGUGUCAGCCGCCGCGGUAAUACCAGCACCCCGAGUGGUCGGGACGUUUAUUGGGCCUAAAGCAUCCGUAGCCGGUUCUACAAGUCUUCCGUUAAAUCCACCUGCUUAACAGAUGGGCUGCGGAAGAUACUAUAGAGCUAGGAGGCGGGAGAGGCAAGCGGUACUCGAUGGGUAGGGGUAAAAUCCGUUGAUCCAUUGAAGACCACCAGUGGCGAAGGCGGCUUGCCAGAACGCGCUCGACGGUGAGGGAUGAAAGCUGGGGGAGCAAACCGGAUUAGAUACCCGGGUAGUCCCAGCUGUAAACGCUGCAGACUCGGUGAUGAGUUGGCUUAUUGCUAACUCAGUGCCGCAGGGAAGCCGUUAAGUUUGCCAAGGGGGGACGUACGGUCGCAAGACUGAAACUUAAAGGGAUUGGCGGGGGAGCA